CUCUCUAGCCAGAUGAAGCUAACUGGCAGCUAAUAACGUUAGCUGUGGUCAACAGGGUUAAGUAGCUGGAUAGCUAGUUAUUUUCAUGAAAUGAAGUUCGAUUUCAAUAGGGGAACAACACUAGCCAAUACUUACUCGCAUGGAUUCCUAAAUCAUCGCUAAAAAAACAUUGAAAAUGAGUGCAGUUUCUACUGGUCAUUGCUUUCAGGCUGGUUGCAUCGAUGCUAGCUAGCUACCCCCAGAGGUUGCUAAUAACAUCUGUAUCAAACAUAUUUCCAAGCCGUUUUGAUCCUGAUCUUAUUUCAAAUGCUCACACAGACGUUUUCCCAUUCGGUGGAACAAAUCAUUCGUUAUUACCAACGUGGUAUUGUAAACACAUUGUGGCCGGUGUGGGUGCUUGUUUUUGUAGAAUUAUUUUGUACAACUUUGACAGUGCUGGUGGCGCUUGGCUUUCACACACAACAUUCCAUAAUAUAAUCGUGUUAUUUGACAUGUCAAAUUAUUAUUUUAUGUAUCUUUUUUUUUGACAAGCAUUUGACCUAAACGGCUACCCAUACCGGCCGGUUAGGGACCAAUGAUAAAUGCCGUGUUCGAUUUUGAUUUAGGUUUUUUUUUUUAUUAACAACAAAUCAAUACAGGAAGUACAUGAGGGAACACAAGUAUUUAUGGAUAGUAUACAAUGGACAAUUGAGCUAGGGGGCGGGGCUGGGGGCACAAUAUCACAUUACACAGGGGACCUUAAGGGACAUGCAUAUACUUAUAAUUCGAACAGAUUCUUUUGUUAGUGGAGUAUUUAAUUGUCUUAAAAUACAGUUCAAUUUAUUUUUGUAGGGUAAGAAAAUGUGUUUUUCUGUUUGUAAAUGUACAUUUGUGAAUAUGACAUUUGGCCAAAAGAAUAAUUAAAUUAAUUACGUGAAAAUGUUUCAGCUUAUUCCUAUCGUAGAUAAAGAAUCCAAGCAGUACAUCUCUCCACAAUAGUGUUAAAUCUUCAUAAAAGUGUUCAAUUAUAAAUCUACUGAUGUCUUGCCACAGUUUUCUUACAUGAAUACAUUGUCAAAAAAGUUGCAACACUGUUUCUGGGUGGUCAAUACAAAAGGAGCAAUUUGAAUUGAUGUUUUCCUUAAACUUCUUCAUAUAGUGGUUGGCAGGAUAAUAUUUAUGAAUAAUUUUAAAGGAAACUUCCUUAAUUUUGUUAACAAGUAGGUAUGUGUGUGGCAAUAUCAAAACUUUUUCCCAACAGAUAUUAUCAAUAAAUCCAUUCCAAUAAGGCAUGACAUAAAGUAUAGAUACAACAUCCUGCUGAAACAAGGAUCGUAUCGCUCUGUUGUUGAAUGGACCAAAAGAUAAACAAAUCUUUCCUACUCAUGAGUCAACAGGGUCAACAGAAGGUCGGCUCUGAGGGUCAGGUCUUUCCUACUGAUGAGUCAACAGGGUCAAUAGAAGGUCGGCUCUGAGGGUCAGGUCUUUCCUACUGAUGAGUCAACAGGGUCAAUAGAAGGUCGGCUCUGAGGGUCAGGUCUUUCCUACUGAUGAGUCAACAGGGUCAAUAGAAGGUCGGCUCUGAGGGUCAGGUCUUUCCUACUGAUGAGUCAACAGGGUCAAUAGAAGGUCGGCUCUGAGGGUCAGGUCUUUCCUACUGAUGAGUCAACAGGGUCAAUAGAAGGUCGGCUCUGAGGGUCAGGUCUUUCCUACUGAUGAGUCAACAGGGUCAAUAGAAGGUCGGCUCUGAGGGUCAGGUCUUUCCUACUGAUGAGUCAACAGGGUCAAUAGAAGGUCGGCUCUGAGGGUCAGGUCUUUCCUACUGAUGAGUCAACAGGGUCAAUAGAAGGUAGGCUCUGAGGGUCAGGUCUUUCCUACUGAUGAGUCAACAGGGUCAACAGAAGGUAGGCUCUGAGGGUCAGGUCUUUCCUACUGAUGAGUCAACAGGGUCAAUAGAAGGUAGGCUCUGAGGGUCAGGUCUUUCCUACUGAUGAGUCAACAGGGUCAAUAGAAGGUCGGCUCUGAGGGUCAGGUCUUUCCUACUGAUGAGUCAACAGGGUCAAUAGAAGGUCGGCUCUGAGGGUCUUGACACGUUCCUGAGUAAUAAAGCAACACCUGAGGGAAUGGCAUCUAAAACAAUUUCAAAAUCUUUAGGUGUUACAGGGACCUUGUAAAGUGAUAAGAAUUCCUUAUAACUGAGUAAGAGAGCCUCUGCAUUUACCAGUUGGCUCCCCAACAGGAUAUUAUUUAGAAACCAAUAUUCCAAAAACAAAGAAGUAUUUUUAUACAAUAUGUCCCGAUUAUUCCAUAUAUAAUAUCUGUGUGGAGAAAAAUUAUAAUUGCAAAACGACAUGAAGUUAAGGCCACCAAAAGUAGAGAAGACAUGAUGAGUAAUACAAUUCUACAUAGAUGUGUCUUCUUAGGAAUUGUUUUAUCCAAUUGAUCUUAAAAGUAUUAUUUAAGGUAGUAAAGUCCAGAAAAUUCAGCCCACCAUUCUCAUAAGUGUUCAUUACAACAGUUUUCCUAAUGUAAUGUUUACGGUUUCUCCACAGAAAGUUGAAAAGCAUCUGGUCUAUCUCCUUGCUUAUUUUACUGUCAAGAUAUAAAGAUAGAGCACCAUAUGUUAGUCUAGAGAUACCUUCAGCCUUGGUUAUUAGGACUCUACCUUUUAAAGAUAAGUCCCUCUGUAGCCAUUGAUUUAGUUUCUUCUGGGUUUUUUUUAAUAAGAGGGUUAAAAUUUAGUAAGCCUCCAGACUUCUGAUCCUUUGUAAUGGUUAUGCCUAAAUAUGUAAGUUAUUAUUUUACUGGAAUACCAUAAUAUGAAGGUGUCACACAAUCUUUGACAGCUAUUAGUUCACAUUUAUUAAUGUUAAGAUAUAGACCAGACGCUUUGGAAAAGCAUUGUAUCACAUUGAUCGAUAUGGGAAUUUGGUUAGCGUCUUUCAGAGAAAGUGUAGUAUCGUCAGCCAGCUGGC